GGGAAUGUAGCUUAGUGGUAGAGUGCUUGUCUAGCACGCAUGAAGCCCUGGGCUCCAUUCCCC
rnacentral:tRNA from 1 species